UAAGAGGUCCUGCCUGCCCAGUGACUGUAUGUUCAACGGCCGCGGUACUUUAACCGUGCGAAGGUAGCGUAAUCACUUGUCUUUUAAAUGAAGACCUGUAUGAAUGGCAAGACGAGGGCCCAACUGUCUCCUCUUUCUAGUCAAUGAAAUUGAUCUUCCCGUGCAGAAGCAGGAAUAAAUCCAUAAGACGAGAAGACCCUGUGGAGCUUUAGACACUAAAUCAGCCCUUGUCCAAGACCCUGGUUAAAGGACAGAACGCUAGAGGAUACUCUGAUCUGAUGUCUUCGGUUGGGGCGACCUCGGGGAAAGAAAAACCCCCAAGCGGAAUGGGAGUACUUACUCCUAAAACUAAGAGCCGCUGCUCAAGGAAUCAAAAGCUUUGACCAACCAUAUGAUCCAGCCUAACGCCGAUCAACGGACCAAGUUACCCCAGGGAUAACAGCGCAAUCCUCUUUCAGAGCCCAUAUCGACAAGAGGGUUUACGACCUCGAUGUUGGAUCAGGACAUCCUAAUGGUGCAGCCGCUAUUAAGGGUUCGUUUGUUCAACGAUUAAAGUCC
rnacentral:rRNA from 1 species